GCAGGGCCGGGGCAGCUGCAGCGUGGAGUGUCGGGCUGGCCGAAAGUCACCAUGUUCUCAACUGGAAGUUGGUUGCCUUCCCCACCCACCCCCUGGAACUUUAACAGAGGGGGAGACAGAAGUGCAGAGAAGAAAAGGAGAGGGAAGGAAACUUAGAGUCAAGAAACCUGACAGUGACAGUGCUAAGGCCAGGAUGGCAUCAGGAAUUAGGGACAGCAGUGACAGGUCCCCGCUUCUGAGGGGUCUAAGUGCAGGGAAGGGACAGACACAAAGCUCCCUGGUGACUGGUGCCUUGCAGAGAAUUAAAAUGGGGUGAUGGGGUGGGGAGGGCCAAAGGUGGUCAGGGAGCAUCCCCUGGGGGAUGGGGGGGGACAGGGGGCCAAGCUCUGAAUGACCAGAGGAGCCAGAAGGAUGAGUGGGCAGGUGUGAAGACGAGCCUGGAGGGAAUGGGGUUGCAGUGGGUGCCUGUCCCCAAGCACCACCUCCAUCCCCUACCACUCUGCCCCUGCCCAUUCCAGGCCCAGCAGGGUCUCGUCUCCAUGAACUUGGCCCGGGGAAGCCGGUGUGAAGGUUGGGGCAAGGCUGCCCCACCUUACUGCCAUCUCUCCUCUCUGACAAGGUGGCUGCUCCGGAGGUGGCUGAGCUCCAGGAGAGGGGCCCUCCUCUAACCCUCAGGCUCAGAUCCUGUCCUGACACACUCCUUCCCUGACUCUGGGUCCUCCCACCUCUAAGACAGAACCAGGGUGCACACUGCUUGCCUCUGGAGGCAGCCUCAGCCCUCACUCAAGGUCAGGCAGUCCUGCAGAGCGGGAAGGAGAGGAAGGGGUCCGGUAGGGUGGGCAGGAUGGUCUGGGCCUCCUUCCUCCUGCCCCUCUGCCACUCCACCCAGCGCAGGGCCCGGCAGGGGAUUGGAGUUCCUGCAGUGUCGGCCACACAGCCCUCCCACCAUCUCUCCCUCCCUCCCACUGUCCCUCCCGCCCUCCCGAGCCACCAGCCCCCAAGUUGGCUGUGGUUGGGCACCUGGUUUGGGUCCUGCAGAGCUGGGCCCCAGCCCUGGGCUCUGAACCUGUGAACCCUUGCUGUGUACGGACCUUUCCUUCCUCUGAGGGCCUUGAACCCUCUCCUUUUCUUCUCUUUUUUUUUUCGGGGGGGGAUUAACUUUAUUUUCUCUUCCCUGUAUCUGCCUCUUCCUCCCCUCAAUUUCCUGUUUUAAAACUCAAUGGCACGAAAUUGUUUUCCUCAACUCGGAGAUUCCUGUAUGGAGAGAAUCAAUUUCUAUAUUUGCAAUAAAUUUCUUAUUUAAAGCUA